UACAAAUGAUGUUUUUCUCACGAUGGUCUUCUGAACCUUACUGGUGAUGGGGCUGUGAUGACUCUGCCAAAAGGCUAUACUGAUGGUAA